rnacentral:rRNA from 1 species
GACGAACGCUGGCGGCGUGCUUAACACAUGCAAGUCGAACGGAAAGGCCCUGCUUUUGUGGGGUGCUCGAGUGGCGAACGGGUGAGUAACACGUGAGUAACCUGCCCUUGACUUUGGGAUAACUUCAGGAAACUGGGGCUAAUACCGGAUAGGAGCUCCUGCCGCAUGGGGGGGGUUGGAAAGAUUCGGCGGUUGGGGAUGGACUCGCGGCUUCUCCGCUUGUUGGGGGGGUAGUGGCUUACCAAGGCUUUGACGGGUAGCCGGCCUGAGAGGGUGACCGGCCACAUUGGGACUGAGAUACGGCCCAGACUCCUACGGGAGGCAGCAGUGGGGAAUAUUGCACAAUGGGCGGAAGCCUGAUGCAGCAACGCCGCGUGCGGGAUGACGGCCUUCGGGUUGUAAACCGCUUUCGCCUGUGACGAAGCGUGAGUGACGGUAAUGGGUAAAGAAGCACCGGCUAACUACGUG